rnacentral:rRNA from 1 species
GACGAACGCUGGCGGCGUGCCUAAUACAUGCAAGUUGAGCGCUGAAGGUUGGUACUUGUACCGACUGGAUGAGCAGCGAACGGGUGAGUAACGCGUGGGGAAUCUGCCUUUGAGCGGGGGACAACAUUUGGAAACGAAUGCUAAUACCGCAUAAAAACUUUAAACACAAGUUUUAAGUUUGAAAGAUGCAAUUGCAUCACUCAAAGAUGAUCCCGCGUUGUAUUAGCUAGUUGGUGAGGUAAAGGCUCACCAAGGCGAUGAUACAUAGCCGACCUGAGAGGGUGAUCGGCCACAGUGGGACUGAGACACGGCCCAAACCCCUACGGGAGGCAGCAGUAGGGAAUCUUCGGCGAUGGACGAAAGUCUGACCGAGCAACGCCGCGUGAGUGAAGAAGGUUUUCGGAUCGUAAAACUCUGUUGGUAGAGAAGAACGUUGGUGAGAGUGGAAAGCUCAUCAAGUGACGGUAACUACCCAGAAAGGGACGGCUAACUACGUG